UACCAGCACCCCGAGUGGUCGGGACGUUUUAUUGGGCCUAAAGCAUCCGUAGCCGGUUCUACAAGUCUUCCGUUAAAUCCAGCUGCUCAACAGAUGGGCUGCGGGAGAUACUACAGGGCUAGGAGGCGGGAGAGGCAAGCGGUACUUUAUGGGUAGGGGUAAAAUCCGCUGAUCCAUAGAAGACCACCAGUGGCGAAGGCGGCUUGCCAGAACGCGCUCGACGGUGAGGGAUGAAAGCUGGGGGAGCAAACCGGG
rnacentral:rRNA from 1 species